AGCAGCCGCGGUAAUUCCAGCUCCAAUAGCGUAUAUUAAAGUUGUUGCAGUUAAAAAGCUCGUAGUUGAAUUUCGGAAUCAAUGGAUCGGUCAUGCCACUCGGUGUGUACUGGUUUGAUUGGUUCUCACCUUCUAAGGAACCGUGAUGUCAUUAAUUUGGUGUCGCGGGGAAUUAGGACUGUUACCUUGAAAAAAUUAGAGUGUUUAAAGCAAGCUCACGCUUGAAUACAUUAGCAUGGAAUAAUGAAAUAGGACAUUGUAUUCUAUUUUGUUGGUUUCUAGGAUCGAUGUAAUGAUUAAUAGGGAUAGUUGGGGGCAUUAGUAUUCAAUUGUCAGAGGUGAAAUUCUUGGAUUUAUUGAAGACUAACUACUGCGAAAGCAUUUGCCAAGGAUGUUUUCAUUAAUCAAGAACGAAAGUUAGGGGAUCGAAGACGAUCAGAUACCGUCGUAGUCUUAACCAUAAACUAUGCCGACUAGGGAUCGGAUGAUGUUAAUUUUUAAUGACUCAUUC
rnacentral:rRNA from 1 species